UACGUAGGGUCCGAGCGUUGUCCGGAAUUACUGGGCGUAAAGAGCUCGUAGGUGGUUUGUCGCGUUGUCCGUGAAAACUCACAGCUCAACUGUGGGCGUGCGGGCGAUACGGGCAGACUGGAGUACUGCAGGGGAGACUGGAAUUCCUGGUGUAGCGGUGAAAUGCGCAGAUAUCAGGAGGAACACCGGUGGCGAAGGCGGGUCUCUGGGCAACAACUGACGCUGAGGAGCGAAAGCGUGGGGAGCGAACAGG
rnacentral:rRNA from 1 species